rnacentral:lncRNA from 1 species
AAUAAUGAUGUAUUUGGCAAAUCAAAUACCAUGGUCUAAUAAUCAACCAUUCUGAUUAAUUGAUAAUAUUAGUAUUAGUUGGAAAUUUUCUGAAAGAUUCCUGUGAAAAGUUUCAUUAACGCGUAAUUCGUGUCGAGUAGACCUUGUUGUUGUGAGAAUUCUUAAUUCAUGAGUUGUAGGGAGGGAUUUAUGUCACCACAAACAGAGACUAAAGCAAGUGUUGGAUCCAAAGCUGGUGUUAAAGAGUACAAAUUGACUUAUUAUACUCCUGAGUACCAAACCAAGGAUACUGAUAUAUUGGCAGCAUUCCGAGUAACUCCUCAACCUGGAGUUCCACCUGAAGAAGCAGGGGCCGCGGUAGCUGCCGAAUCUUCUACUGGUACAUGGACAACUGUAUGGACCGAGGAGUCAAGUCUGUCUGCCCGGUGGUCGGAUGUGAAGGAGUGAGUAAUGAGCCAUUUUUCGUUUGGAGUGGGUGCCGUGGUAAUGAACGGAUUCGAAGACUCUGUAUAGCUCUGCAUUCCUUUUUCUUUAUUGUCUGGUAGUUAAGGAGUGAAUGCAAAUCAGAUAAGAAAGAGACUAAACUCCGAUGUCGGAAUCUCGUCUGCGUAGUUCGAAUCUCUUUCUUCCCGAAAAUCCCAUGAUGUGCAUGUACAUACAGCUUCUAAUAAUGUUGCUACUACAAAUUUUGCAGCUUCUACUAGUGAAAAAAAAGACUUAGCUCUAGGGCACAAUAGACGAGGCCAUGCUUUUCUUACUACUCUAAGGAAGCUAAGUUGUUUUAAAUGUAUUUCUAUUAAGGUUGAGGCUACUGUUGUAGACAUGUGCACUGCAUGCCCUUUGGCUAAACAAUCAAGGAUUUUUCCUUUAAGUACCACCUCUACAUAUGCUUGUUUUCACUUAUUACAUGCUGAUGUCUGGGGUUCCUACAGGGUACCUAUACAUGACGGUAAAAGGUUUUUUAACCUUGGUUGAUGACUAUUCCAAAUACAUUUGGAUAGUUCUGCUUAAAUCUAAAUCAGAAGUCAUAGUUGUUCUUAAAAACUUCCUUAUCAUGAUAAAAAAUAUGUUUGGUACUUUUAUUAAAUGCCUAAGAUCUGACAAUGGUUGUGAGUUCUUCAACUCUCAAAUAACUGACCUACUCGUAUCACUUGGAAUUCUACAUCUAAUCUCUUGUGUCUAUACACCUCAAUAAAAUAGUUUUGUAGAGAGAAAGCAUAGACAUAUUCUAGACACAACCAGGUCUAUCAGAUUCCAGUCUCAUGUACCUCUGAAGUUUUGGGAGAAUGUGUCCUUACUAGUAUGUAUCUCAUUAACAGAUUGCCCUCUACUGUCCUUAAGGGUAAGACUCCUUUUGAAUAUAUGUAUCAUUCUGGUCCUUCUCUUGAGCAUCUUAGAGUAUUUGGCUACUUAGCUUAUGCUACUGAAGUAAGGAGGGUGGAUAAGUUUGCCUCAAGGGCUAUUCCUGCAGUAUUUCUUAGUUACUCACAUCUCUCAAAGGGGUACAAACUCAUGGUUUUACAUACCAAGGAAUUCUUAGGCAGUAGAGAUGUAGUCUUUAAUGAAAAUGUAUUUCCUUUCCAACACAUGAGCUCUUUCUCUCAUAUAUUUUAUCCUCCUUUGUUCCAUGAUUCUACUGAUGCUAAGUUUGUGCCUUUGGUGAUUCCUGCAUCCUCUAGUUCUACCACUGCUGAUCUUCUGGUUCUAGGUUUUGCUCUCAACUCAGUUCAAGAUAUUGCCCAGCCUGAACCUGCUAUUACUGAAUCAGUUGAGUUACUUCCCUUAUCUCAAACUAGAAGAACUUCUACUAGACAGACUAGACCACUAAUUUGUCUUAAAGACUAUCAAACUAAAGUGUCUAAAGCUAACUUUGCAUGUCUAUACCCUAUUUCUUACCAUGUGCGCUAUGCUGCACUCUCUUCUUCUUACUGUGCUACUUUAUUAACUUACUCUUCAGUACAUGAACCUACUUUAUUUUUUGAAGCUUCUAUGGAUCCCGAGUAGAUUGAAGCAAUGAAGUCUGAAAUGGUUGCAUUUGAGGAUAAUAAUACAUGGACCAUAGUUUAUUUUCCCCCGGUAAAAUUCUCAUUGGUUAUAAAUGGGUGUUUAAAGUUAAGUAUGUAGCAUCUGGUGUUGUUGAAAGAUACAAGGUCAGGAUAGUUGCAAAGUGCUUUAAUCAGAUAGAAAGGUUGGACUACUCAGACACAUUCUCUCCGGUGGCUAACACGGUCACGUCAGAUCAUUGUUGUUGUUGCUGCAGUUAAGCACUAGCCUGUGUUUCAGAUGGAUGUUCACAAUGUUUUUCUGCAUGGUGAUCUUAUUAAAGAUGUAUCUAUGGCUCUUCCCCCUGGCAUUUACAGACAAGGAGAGGUUGAUAAGGUCUAUAAGUUGCAAAAAUCUCUUUAUGGGCUUAAGUAAGCUCCAAGGCAAUGGAACUUGAAACUAACAGAGGCUCUUAUUCAACUUGAGUUUGUACAAAGUCAUUAUGACAACUCUCUGUAUACAAAGACAGCAGGGAAGGAUCUAGUCAUAGUACUAGUCUAUGUUGAUGAUCUGUUAGUAAUUGGUAGAUAUAGCAGAUUGAUUGAUCAAACUAGAAGUGAUCACAUGUUUAAGUUCAAGAUGAAAGACUUGGGUCCUUUAAAGUUCUUUCUUGGCAUUGAAUUUUCUAGGUCCAAGAAGGGGAUUGUCAUAAGCCAAAUAUAAAAUAUGCUUUAGUCCUUAUUUUUUAGCUAGGACUUAGUAGAGCCAAGCAAGUGUAUGCACCACUUGAUCCAAGUCUGAGAUUGACCUUAAUUGAAUAUGACUCACAUGUAAACAACUCAGGAGAAGAUCCAGUAGAUAAACCUCUAAAAGAUAUUAGGAAAUAUCAAAGGCUAGUUGGGAGGUUGUUGUAUUUAACAAUGACAAGAGUGGACAUUUCCUUUGUUGUACAAGUGUUGAGCGAGUUCUUGCAUGCACCUAAGGAAUCCCACAUGGAAGCUGCUAUCAGAGUGGUGAAAUAUGUUAAGGCUUCACCAGGCUUAGGCUUGUUCAUGCCAUCGCAAGGCUCAGGUACAUUGACAGCAUUUUGUGACUCAGACUGGGGAACUCGUCUACAAACUAGAAGGUCUGUGACUGGGUAUUUAGUUAAAUUUAGAGCUGCUUUGGUGUCUUGGAAAUCAAAGAAGCAAAAGAUAGUAGCUAAAAACUCAGCUGAAGCAGAGUUCAGAAGUAUGGCCUCAACAGUGGCUGAAAUCACCUGGCUUAUAGGCCUGUACAAAGAGUUGGGUAUUAAGGUUCAACAACCAAUAAACUUAUUGUGUGACAGCAAAGCUGCAUUGCAAAUUGCAGCCAACUCAAUUUUUCACAAGAGGACAAAACACUUUGACACUAAUUGUCACUUUGUCAGAGAGAAAUUGGUGCAGAAAAUAAUUUAGACUCGUCAUGUAUCAACCAAGGAACAGCUAGCUAAUUUGCUUACAAAGAGUCUAGGCAACACACAACAUACUCAUCUUUUAUCCAAGCUGGGAGUGAAGGAUCUAUUUCACUCAUCAGCUUGAGGAAAGAUGUUCAGUAUUCUUAGUGAAUGAGUUAGUCACAGAGUUAGUUACACUGUAGAUGUGAGUUAGUUACAAUGUACAACACAAUACUUGUGUGUACUAGUUGGUUAGUUAGUUAGAAAAGUUAACUUAAUGAGAUGAGUUAGUUAGUUGAUAUUAGAAGUUCCUCUAUAAAUAGAGGUGUGUAGAUAGUGUGUGGAACUAAUAUUUCAUUGAUUUAAUAAAAGGUUCACUUUCAGUUCUCUCUCCCUCUCUAUGAGUUGAAACUCAGCUCCAUGGAUCACCAUUGUUGAUUCUCAACUGUUCGAGCUAUUAGAAAUGUUGUUUCAAGAAAUAUUUGCCCUUAAUAUAAGCAUAAUCUAAGGUUUAGAGUAAAAUAUCCUCCAAGAACUCUAAUAGAAUUUGAAUUCAUCUUGUAGAGUUCAAAAAAAUUUAAAUGUCUACACUAGCAUAAAGACAAAAUAUACAAGGUGAUUUUUUUCAUCUGUCUUGAUGAAUAAAGUUACUCUGAUAUCUGACGGUGGUGAUGAAAGGUGGUAUGUAAGUAUAUAUAUGUGUGUGCCUCACGCUUAAUUCAAUAUCAACAAUAAACCCAGUAUAUUUUCACAUAGUGGGGUUCGGAGAUGUCUCACGCUUAAUUAAUGAUCCUUUCUGCGGACAGCCUAUCAAAUCAGAUCACGUAUUUUGGAAUAUGUCGUUACAUCAUGUACAUGUAUUCGCUUUUUCAUUUUUUUGGAUGUUCCUGCUCGUGCGCCGAUGCCUGCUGCUUCAUCUGGGAGAAAAGAAUCAUAGAUAUGCCGGUCAUUAGAAGGAAGAACCGCCAUAAAAAGAGGGUGUCACCCUCUAGCUGUAAUCUAUCUCUUUCUCUAUGAUAUAUCCAUAUUAAAUCACAACAUUAACAACAACAUAUCUUUUUUGUUAUUCUACAUGUUUGAGAGUAAACCGUAUGCAAAUGUUACUUUUACUUCAAACGAUAGAAAAGUUAUUUUAAUAAAUUCUCGACUCAAUAAUUUCAAAUAAGUUCCAAAAAAAUAAAGAAAUAGAAAACAACGAAGCCAUGACAAAAAAAAAAAAAGAAAGAAAACAUGACAAAGUAGUUGAAAAGAAAUGACACUAAUUAACUACAAUAAAAUGAUCGGAUAAUCAAAAUAUAAAAGACAACAAAUAGUAGGUAUAAUGAAUUCAUAAUAUUAAAAAUAUAAUAAAUUCUAAAAAAUUUUAACGUUGAACUCAUAAAUUUAAAUUCUUAAUUUAUAUAUAUAUAUAUAUAUAUUAAAUAGAGAAUAUAGAUAUUUUUAUUUGAACUAGCAGAUGUAUAACUUUUCCUUUUUUAAUCAUAGCAUCUUUUUCUGUUAACAAUCAGGUAAUCUCAUCAUGUUGCGUUGGCCAGGAGAAUCUAAGGAAAACAUUUUAUUUUGUAUAAUAAUAAAAAUAAAGUGAUUUAAAGGGAACAAUUCGUACAUAUUAUGAUGUGUACAUGUGCACUUUUUCCUUUUAAAAAAAAAUAAUAAAUAAAAAUUAUUUGUUUAUACAAAUAAUUUGUAUUGUAACCACUAGAGUUGGUAUGGUGGUUUAGCGCCAUGUCCCUUAAUCAAGAGGUCGCGGGUUCGAUUCCCGCCUCUGGCGAAUGGAGCAAAUCCUGUUGCCAGUUCUCUACUACUUAGUGUGAGGUUCCUCGGAAAUGAUUUCUUAUGAUUACUUAGAAAAUUAUUUGGUAGCUGAUUAAAGUUGUACAGGACUUCAUUAUGAACGAAUGUAUUUAUGAUUUUAUGCAAGGUGUUAACUAUGCGAUUUAAUUUUAUGUAACUAGCAAUUAUUCAUGCAUUUGUUAUUUUAUAAUAUAAUAUGUAAAUUUCCUCAUAAUCUAUACUUGUAUUAAUUCUAUAUGUUUCUCAACAUCUUAACUUAUUUUGGAUUUAAAUACUGUCUUAAAUUUUAUAUAUAGAAAUAAUUACCUUCUAAUCAGCUACAAAACUUAGUAUUACUAUACAAGAUUUUAGAAUUUUUAAAACAUGGAUAAACCAUUAAAAGAAAGAAAGAAAAAAUAUAUUUAGUGAGAAUUGAUCCCUAAAUUCUUAAGGUAAAUAACUUAAAGUUUAGCCAAGUGUAUUAUUUAGUCUUCUCAUAACAUAGGUGUCAACAAGUAAUAUUACUAAUUUUAGAAUAUAUACACAUAAAAUACUUAGUUUUACUAAAAAAUAAGGUUCACAUGCCCUCUUUUUUAAUAUAAUUUCGCUUCUCGAUAUUACUUACUCUGAAUAUAACACCUACAUAAUUCUCCUCUCGAUAUUACUUACUCUGAAUAUAACACCUACAUAAUUCUCCUCUAAAAAAGCCAUCAAAAGCUUUUACAAUUUGAAUGACAAAAAAUAAUUAUUUUCGGACCAUAAGAUUUAAUAACAUUUUAGUCAUGGAAUAAUAUGAUUAAUUAAGAGAAUAAUAUCAAUUAUUUUUUAAAUUUUUUUUUUUUUUUUAAAGUAUCAUAAGCAUUACGAUCAUUCUAUUUUGUCAAACUCUGAUAGGAGAUUCUUUUAUUUAACUUGGAAAAGGACAAUUCCAGAAUAUAUAUAUUAGUUGCUUGGAUGAAUGUGCCUAAUCAUAGAAGACAACCUAGUACCAUUUGGAUAUUUUUCUAAUCUUCAAUCUUUCACUACCACAAAGAGUUGGAUAUACAAAAUUUCUUUUUAAAAAAAAAAUAUAUAUUUUUGGUGUUUGAAUUAAUUUAUGCAUACCUCGAUAAAGUAUUUUAUAAAAUAUUUGUCCAGAGGCGAACCUUUGUGUAUUUUUAUAGUGCAUGACACCCAUUAAAUUUGGUAUAACUAUAUACGUAAUAUAUAAAAAUUGGUAUAGGAAUAAAAAAAAACAUUAAGAAAAUCAAGAAGCUAGUUGAGUGUUUUAGUUUUCAAACGAAACCUUAAAACAUUAGGUGUCAAUAUCUGUUAGAACCUCCCUGAGGCACCCAUGCAACCACUAAAUUCUAAGUGUGCCACAAUAUUUGUCACCUAAUGUCUAUCAAAAUUAGAAUAUAAAGAAAAUAAAUCACACAGUUUUUGUACUUGUUGAAAAUUGAACCUGAGAUCUCAUGGUGCUCAAUCAAUUUCAUUAAACCGACAAGGCACAUCUGUAGGAGCAAAGCAAAAGUUUUCUAAGUUUGAAACUUGAUAAUGGAAAAAUUCAUGAUUUAUAGGGUGUUUGAAUUGACUUAUUUUUAAGUGUUUUGGGUUUUUAAAUACUUUUUGAUUUUUGAAAUUGUUUGACAGAUACACAACUUUAGACUUAAAAGGUUCAUAAAAAAAAUCAAAAAUAAAAAGUAGAUUGUUACAUACUUUUAACUCUUAAUUUUUUUACUUAUAAAUCACAUAAAAAUAACCCUUAAAAGUGUUCUAAUGAAUUUUAUGCUGCAGAAAUAUGUUUAGUAGAUUAUAAACUUUGGUAAUGGACAAUUGAAUAUUAAGUGUUUUUAUCUUAAUUAAUCUUAAAAAGAUAAAUGUAUGGCUAUCUCCCUUUCUUAUUUUUACCCCAAUCUUUUUAUUUUUACUUUCUUUCUUUCCCUUGCCUUAAUUUGUUUUUGGGCUCCAUCAAAUAUUCAAGUGGAGCACCAACAAAUUGAUUAAAGCGACUUUCCACUUACACUUAUCUGGAUAUGAUCACGAUAUUCUGUCAGUUGUGAUUUAACUCAAUAAUCAUAUCGUAUCAGAAAAUAUUAUUAUUCUCUUAUUAAAGCAACGAUCAUAUCAUAUUAGAAAAUACUAUUACAUUUUUAUUUAAAUUUUUUUUAUUAUUUAUUAAUUAUAAUAUAUAUGACUCAGCAACACGAUAAAAUAGUGAUGUUCUUUUUAUAAACUAGGGGCGUGAACCAACACACCUAUGAACCAAUAACAUAAAUGUUGUAAUAUUCCUUGUUAAUUAUGAUAUUCUGUCAGUUGUGAUUUAACCCAGUAAUCAUAUUGUAUCAAAAAAUAUAAAUAUGCUCUUAUUAAAGCAACAAUUAUAUCGUAUUAGAAAAUGCUAUUACACUUUUAUUUAAAAAAAAUUGUUAUUUAUUAAUUAUGAUAUUACUCAGCAACACGAUAAAAUAUUGAUGUUCUUUUUAUAAACACGGAGCGUGAACCAACACCUAUGAACCAAUAACAUAGAUAUUGUAAUACUCUUUGCCAAUUACGAUAUUUCGUCAGUUGUGAUUUAACUCAGUAAUCAUAUCAUAUCAGAAAAUAGUAUUAUGCUCUUAUUAAAGCAACAAUCAUAUUGUAUUAGAAAAUACUAUUUCAUUCUUUUUUAAAAUUUUUUGUUAAUUAUUGAUUAUGGUAUGACUUAGCAACACCAUAAAAUAAUGAUGUUCUUUUUAUAAACUAGGGGCAUGAACCAACACCUAUGAACCAAUAACAUAGAUGUUGUAAUAUUCUUUGUUAAUUACGAUAUUUCGUCAGUUGUGAUUUAACUCAGUAAUCAUAUCAUAUCAGAAAAUAUUAUUAUGCUCUUAUUAAAGCAACAAUCAUAUCGUAUUAGAAAAUACUAUUUCAUUCUUAUUUAAGAACUUUUGUUAAUUAUUGAUUAUGGUAUGACUUAGCAACACCAUAAAAUAUUGAUGUUCUUUUUAUAAACUAGGUGCGUGAACCAACACCUAUGAACCAAUAACAUGGAUGUUGUAAUAUUUUUUGUUCUUGAAUAUUUCUAGUAGUACUUUUUAUACAUUUGUAUGAUACAACCUUGGGAAAGUAGAUUAAGCAUCUUCAUUAGCAUACAGUAAUCCCCUAAGCAUCUUAGUUUUUUAAUUAAUAAGUUAUGCCUUUUCCUUAGUUGGAGGCUAAUCCAAUUUCAAAGCUCAUAUAUUUGGUGAAGUGGCUAUCCACUAGUCAUGUCUCUUAUUUAGUUUUAUCAUUUUAUUUUAAAAAAUAAAUAAAUUAUGCUCUUGUUUAAUUUAGAGAUAGUUACGUGUCUAAAUACUUUGAUCGACUAGUUUACAAAAUAUAUACUAUGUGUGUAGGUUAUAUAUAAUGUAUACUAGAUAUACAUAUACUAUAUAUAUAAUAGGUAAAAGAGUCAAAUUUAUUUCUUUACUUUGAAAAAUUAUCUAAAUAUAUCCUUCGUCAUAUUUUGGGGUUCAAAUUUUAUCCUUGUUGUCAUGCAUUGAGGCCAAAUUAACCCCUCUAUUUUAGAAAAUUGAGCAAAAUAUACCCUUCGUCAUACUUUACUCUUAAUAUCAUACUUUGGGGUCAAAUUUACCCUUGUUGUUAAGAAACUUUUGACAUGUACCCUUUCUUUACUAGAAAAGUCCAAUCAACGUUAAAUAUCCUAUAUUUUAAAAAUAAAACACUAUUCUAAUCUGUCCGAUACAAGUCGAGUCACAAAAAAGACACAAAUAAAUAUACACUCCUCAAUUCUGUUACUUAAAUUUUUCCAACGAGAUUAAGCCACUGAAUAUUUAUCAGCGUAUAGCACAUGAAAAAUGAAUUUGCAUCAGUGCAAACACAAACAAAUACACCUCUCCUUCACUUCAUAGAUCUGCACAGUGCAAAACUCAUGAAAAAUGACACUUGACGGUGAGAUGCAACAGAAUAGGCCAAUUGAAGUUUCUUUAGAUAAUUAAGUUAAGAGGUCUCCCUAUGUGUCUGUGACAUCUCUUCAUUCUUAUAUUUUUUAUAUAUACGAUUUGGAUCUAUACAAAUUUCUCAUCAUUUCAUUUGCUCAGAAAACUUAUCCACUGAUUGUAGAAUCUAGAUGUACAUAGAAUUGCAUACCAAAAUUUGAAAUUUGAACAUAACUGAACAAGAGCAGAGUUUGUGUCAUACAUUUUCUCUAGUUCCAUGCUUCUAUGUUGUCACAUUUCAUUUUUUUGUUCAUUUGUAAACAACCUAUCAGCGCUGCACGUUGAAAGAGAAUUAUAUUUGUUCAUUGAAAUAAAUCGGCCAGUAAAAUUGUGGAAGGAGUAUAUUUGUUUGUGUAUUUUUGUGGGUCGCAUUGGACUGAUAAAAUUAGAAUGUGUUUAUUUUUAAAAAUGGGUCAUAUAAUGUUGAUUUGGGCUUCUGUUAAAAGAAAGGUAUAGGUGAAAAAUUUCUUAACAACAAGGAUAAAUAUGGCACCAAAGCAUGUCAUUGAAGAUAAAUUUGAUCCUAAAAUAUGAUGAAGGGUAUAUAUGUUUAAUCAAUUUUUUUAAGUAGACGGGUAAAUUUGACCUCAAAAAUCACUACGAGGGGUAAAUUUGACUCCAAAAUAUGACAAAAGAUAUAUUUUAGUCAAUUUUUCUAAGUAAAGGAUAAACUUGAUCAUUUUUCCUAUAUAAUAUACAUAUCUAUCCAUAGUAUAUUUGGUACUCUUUCAUUUUUUAAAAAAAAGAAAAAAAAAACUAUUUUUUAUUUGCACUUACGGGAGAAAAGAGGUGGGAUGAUAUUGUAAUAGACAUCUUUCAGAAUUUUCAUGUGAUGUUCCAGUUUGCUGUACGUGCAAUGUCGGAUAAUAAUGGAGCUAAAAUAAAAUAAAUUUUAAACGUUAAAAGUGAAAAAUAAAUAACAAACAUAAUAGUUAGUCUGUGUUACUAUAUUAAUAUUUGGUAGUGAUUAAUUCAAAGAAUACUAGACAAUUAAAUUGGACAAAUGUUAACUGAAGUUACAUUAAAGUUAAAGUUUAUAAUAAUGUUUGCGAAGUUAUAUAUUUGAUUAAGCAUAUAUAUUAAUUUUUGUUGUUGAUAGAGAGUCUGAAUCUAUGAAUAAAGAGAUUUGAUAUUGAUUCUCGCUUUAAUUUCAUCAAUCGAUGAAAAAGUUAUUUGAGCUAGGAGGUAGAUAAUUAAAAAGGUAAAAUAAAAUUAAAGUUCGAUAUUUCUCUUUAUCUUAUUAUAUAUAUAACAAUACUCCUAUAUGGAGAUGCUCAAUUUUAAUGAUAAAGAGGCUCAAAUCACUGUACGAAAAGAUUUGAGCUUGAUUCGCACUGUCUGUCAUUAAAAAGAAAAAAAGAAAUAUAAUUGAAAAAAUGGAGUAAAAUGAAGUUCAAUAUCUAACUUUUCAUAUAUAACAGUUCAUGACGUGGAGAUGCUCAAUUUUAUUGAUAAAGAAAUAUAAUAUAGCAAAGAGAUUUGAGCUUGAUUCGCAUUCUCCAUCAUUACACAGAAAUACAUAAUUAAAAAGAUGGAGUAGAUCGAUGUUCGACAUCUGACUUAACUUGUAUAAUAGUACUCUCACGUAAAGAUGCUUAAUUUUAUUUUAUUUUUGAUAAAGAGGUCCAAAUAUGUGAAUAAAAAAUUUUGAUCAGCUUCGCUCGCAAAUGACCAUAUAUUCUAACUGAAAUAAUUUUCUUAGGAUAAAUAAAUACAAUUUAAAAAUAUUAAUGUGAAAAAAAUGGAGUAAACCAAGUUUCAAUAUCUAACCUAGCAUAUAAAACAUGGUUCCAAUAUAACAUUUUUUCUUUAUUGAUAAAGAGAUCUGAAUCUAUAAAAAAAAAAUAUUUGAGCUUGAUUGUCACCCGCUGUCAAUUAAAAAAAAGAAUAUAUAAAUAAUUGUAAAACAUAAGUAAAUCAAAGUAUAAUGUCUGACUCAACAUAUAUAAAGUUAAUUUUUUUUCUUUAGUGAUAAAAAGGUCCAAAUCUAUUGACGAAAAGAUUUAAGCUUAAUUAAUUCCACUCACCAUUAUUGAAAGAGGUAGAUGAUUUAAAAAGAUAAGAGUAGAUUGAACUUUUAAUUUAUCUUAAAGUUGUUUAGGGCUGAAACUGUGGGCUUUAUUCUCCACUUAAUUAAUUAGUACUAUAAGAUAAUACAUGGAAUAUUAAUAAUAAAGUAUAGUAAGUACAAAAAAAAUACUAUUAAUUAACAACUAUUUAGGAGUGGUCGCCGUCAAGAAUGAAGAAAAAAACUUUUAUAAAUAGUGCUAUCAAUGUUUAUUUUUGUAAAAAAAAUUAAAAAUAACGACAUUUUGCUGUAUUUUAAAAUAUAACAACAUUUUUAUUUCGAUUCAUAGCAUAAUACAUGUUCUCAUGCAGAUAUCUCUUCUAAUGGAAAUUGAAUUGAUAUAGUACCUAAUUGUAAUUAUAUGCAUGUGUGUGUAGACGUUGUAGUGGACAAACGCUAAGAUGAAUAGGCCCGCUAGUAUGUCCAGUGUUUAUUUUACUGGCUUGUAUGAUCUCGGAAUAUGGUUGUCCGAUAUUCCUUGUGGACGAACAGGAAAAAUAUAACCUAUAGAUUCAGCAUGGAGCGUGGAAGGUUUGAUCCUUUUAUUUCGGGAGAAAUAACCUCUCAUCAUAGGUGUAUAUUUUCAAAGUAGAUGUAAUUUACAAUAAUUUGUACUAUAGUCUUAGAACAAAAUCUUCAAGUACAUAUUCUUGGGACAAUUUGUCUUUUUGAGUUCCUUAGACUUGAUUAAAAAUUUAAAACGUUUUUAAGUUAAGAUAUCUAUACAUUUUAUCAUAUGAAAUUCAUGCAUAAGAUCUCAUGGUAGUACUUCAAAAUGUAAAAAGCACUCGUGAAAUUUCUUAUCGAAAGGUCCAAUGCAAUAAGUUGAUUUGUGUGAAUUAGACAAUAGAUUUGAGCUUGAUUCACGUUCUGCGUCAUUAAAAAAAGGUAGACCAAAGUUCGAUAUCUAACUUAGCAUAUAAGAGAUUGUUCCCAUAGAGAGAUGCUAAACUUUAUUAACAAAGAGGUUUCUGUCGAUAAAAAGAUUUGAGCUUGAUUUGUGCUCUUUAUAAUUAAAAAGAGAAGUAAAAUCGAAAAAGAUGAAGUAGACUAGGUCAUAUUUGAUUGGAUAUAUAAUAAUGUUUUCACAUAGAGAUGCUCAAUUUUAUUAAUGAAGAGGUAUGAAUCUAUGGACAAAAAGAUUUGAGCUUGAUUAGCGCUCUAUCAUUAAAAAGAGAAACAAAAUUAAAAAAAAUGAAGUAGGCUAGAUCAGUAUUUGACUACAUAAAUAACAGUGUUUUUACAUAGAGAUGCUCAAUUUUAUUAAUGAAGAGGUAUGAAUCUAUGAACAAAAAGAUUUGAGUUUGAUUCGCGCUCUCCAUCAUUAAAAAGGGAAACAAAAUCGAAAAAGAUGAAGUAAACUGGAUCAAUAUUUGACUACAUAUAUAACAGUGUUUCACAUAGAGAUGCUCAAUUUUAUUAAUGAAGAGGUAUGAAUCUAUGAACAAAAAGAUUUGAAUUUGAUUCACGCUCUCUAUUAUUAAAUAGAAAAAAAAAAAGUAAACUGGAUCAAUAUUUGACUGCAUAUAUAAUAAUGUUUUCGCAUUGAGAUGCUCAAUUUUAUUAGUAAUAAACAGGUACGAAUCUAUUGACAAAAAGAUUUAAGCUUGAUUUACAUUCUCCAUCAUUAAAAGAGGAAAAUAACUUAAAAAGAUAUGAAGUGAACAAAAGUACAAGAUCUAACUUACUAGCAUAGAUCAUAUUGUCCCUUACAUAGAUGCUCUAUUGAGAAUUAAAGAGGUUUGAAUAUGUGAACAAAAGAUUUGAGAUUAAUUUCACUCCUCAUUAUUCAAAAAAAAUUGAUAUUAGAUUUAGAAUAUAUAAAAACGUUCAAUAUAAAGAUGCUUAACUUUUUUUUAAUUAUUGAUAAAAAGGUUUAAAUUUACACACAAAAUAAUUUAAAGAUUGAUUCUUCCUCGCAUUCUUAAUAAGAGGUAAAUAAUUGAAAAGGAUGGAGUAAACUAAAGUUCGAUACAAACAAAGAGAUGCUCCAUUUGUUAAUUGAUAAAGAGGUCUAAAUUUACGGACAAAAUAUUUAGAUCAACUUUCGUUCUUCAUCAUUAUAAAGAGAUGAUUAGAUAAUUGAAAAGAAUAAAUUUAGCAAAUAAUAAUGUCCUAACAUGAAAAUGCUUAAUUUUUUUUUGAUAAAGAGGCUCGAAUCUAUGAACAAUUUCUUUCAACUUGAUUCAUUAUCUCCAUCAUUGAAAAGAACCUUAAAUAUUUUCUCCACUUUAAUAUGGAUAGCUAAUUAUGUUAAUAAAAUAAGAGUAGGUACAAAAAAGAAAUUAUAUUUAACAACACUUUGGAAGUGGCCGCCGUCAAGACUAAUAAAGAAUACUUUUUUUAAUUAACAAGACUUUACUCCAUAAAUUGAGAGACAAUUUUGGGAUAGUCAAAUGUAUAGUUUAUUAAGGUAUUAUAUGAUCUUAUUCUUUCUGUUGACAUGUGUCAUUUGAGUACUAUUUGUUUCUUGAUAAUUGUAGAGUUCAAACUAUAUUUACGCCACCUUAAUUAAUUGAAAAAAUAAUAUAAAUUUUAAUAGUUUAGAUCUUAAUAAUUUUUAAAAAUCUCAAUUUUGAAUCAAUCGAGAUAUAUAAUUAGGUUUUGAUAUAUUCAACGAAGAUUCAUUUUUUCCUUUGUAAAGAUACAUAAUUAGCUCAUGAUACAAUUUUUCUAUUUUGAAUCUGUCGCGAGAUACAAAAUACAUUUAAUGAAGAUACAUAUCUAUUUUUCUUUGUAAAGAUACAUAAUUAGCUUUCGAUAUAUUAUUUUCAAUUUUGAAUCUAUCGAGAUACAUAAUUAGCUCCCAAUACAUCCAAAAAAGAUACAUAAUUAGUUGAAAUUUGUAUAAUUACUUUACACGGGUGGAGAUAUAAAUAUAGUAAAUUAACGCAUAUGUUUAUAUUAGUUUUUCUAAUUAAUUCCCUAAAAUAUCUAUCACCUUUCACUAGUAAUAUCUAUCAUGUACAUUAGUAAAACUUCUAUUUGAAUGUUUCUUAUUAGUUUUGAAGUGAAUUAUGGAAUUUUCCUUCACUAUAUUUUAAACUCCCUCUUUUUCAAUUUACAUAUAUCUAACUAGUCUCCCAUUAAAGAUGUUUUCACUUUAAUCAAACUUCUUUUACAUGGGCACCAUGAACAAAUCCUUACUAUUUGUGAUUUUUAACAUUUGCUCGUCACCAACAAUCUUUGUCCAACUUAAUUUUUUACAAUCUAAAGAUCAGGAUUACAAGUAAUUUGAUCUUAUGUUCACGCAUAAGAUCUCUGAUACAAUCCAAAAUGCCUCAGAGCCUUUUGAUGUGAUCAUGAAGUGAGAACUAUCCCUUACUGCUAUCCAAAGGAUGCCACGAGUUGGUGAUUACAUCCCAGAGGGGUCGAGGGGCCUUGGAGAGGUCAAAGGGAAGCAAAGAAAAGUUAGAAGAUGCCUUGGAGGCACCUGCCAAAGAAGUCACCUGCGCCCACAAGUAGGGAGGUGCAGACGCAUAUGGCUUUUUGGCCUCUUCCAGAGUCACCUAUGAAUUGACACACAUGGUAGGUGCCACCUGCAUCCUAAUAUGAGUGGGCAUGUGCUCAAUUUACUGAAAUGGAUCACUUUUGGGCUCAUAGUUAUAAUAAAUAGCUCAUGACUAUAAAUAGUACUAUCUUCGUUCCAUUUUAUGUAUCGCCAUUUGACUGGGCACAAAGUUUAAGAAAUAAGAGAAACUUGGCAAUAUUUAUCAAAUUAUCCUUUAUCAUGGUAUUAUUUUUUUUUAAUUAAGUGAGAUCAAUAAAGGUAAAAGUGGAAUUGUGUAUUUAAAUAGUCACCAAAUAAGGAAAGAUGACAUUCUUUUUGGAACGGACCAAAAAGAAAAUGAUGACACAUAAAAUGGGAGGGAGGAGUAGUUUUUUCUUCAUUUUUAGACUACUUUUGAGGCUAAAGAACAAUUAUACACAUGAGAGUGUGAGUGAGCUAGAAUUAGCUUACGUUGAAAAAUCAUUUGGAAACGUUGAUUGCUUGGGAGUUUGAUUCCCUGAUGGUCUACGUAAGAGUUAAGUGCUAAUUAGGAUUAUUGAAUUGAGGAUUUAGGUUUUAAUAUACCCUUUAUUUGCUUUCAAUUUAUUCUGGUUCUCAUAGUUUUCCCAUUAUCAAUCUCAUACUACAUGUAAAAGUUAUAUAACAUUUACAUGUUUAAUUUGUAUGUUUUGAUUUGCCUAGCUAGUUGUUUUAAAAUGUAAAGACGACUUGAGAAAUCUCUCAUUAAAAAGUACAACUAUAUAUAAAAAUAACUCAAAAAAUCUCUUUUUAAAAGAUACAAUCGUCUAAUGUGUCCCAUGAAAUCUCUCAUUCAAAGGUAAAGUUAUUUAAUCUGUAUAUACAAGACGCAAAAAGAACAUCUUAUGAAAUUCUCAUUGAAAUGUAACUAUUUGAUCCAUGUUGUGUAGUCAAAUGAGCACUAGAUGUAAAAAGGAAAUCUCUCAUUAAAUGGUACAUCAGAUGUAAAAAGAACUCAUGAAAUCUCUCAUUUAAAAGUACAACUAUUUGAUCUUGUAUGAAAAAAAAGGUAAAAAGAAUUCAUGAAAAUUUCUUAUUAAAAGAUAUAAUUAUUUGAUUAUUUACACUAGACGUAAAAAUGACUCAUGAAAUCUCUUCUCAUUAAACGAUAUCAUAGUUUGAUCAAUGUACACCAAACGUGAAAAAAGUCACUCCUCCCUCCAUCAAUAUAAAAAGUAAAUCGAACAAAGAGAAACGAGGGGAAGAAGAUAAUUAAAUUAAAAAAAUUGGCUGGUAAGCAAUUAUUACGAAAUUAAUUAAGUACUUAAUCCAACCAAUACCAAAUGUUUUCAAAUCAAGAUUCUAAGAUUAUAUCAUAAAUUAAACCUUCAAGUUAUACACCAAAUAUAAUACCCCAUGUCUUGAUCCAUAGAUGAUCAGUACAAUUUACUAUUCAAACAAUAUUGUCAUCUACCUAUAUAUACAUGUUCAAAUUGAAACUAAUUGAGACAGAAAAUUUUUGACCUCAAUAUGUAUAAUUGAAGAAGGUGAUAGUGAUGAGCAAAGCAUAAAUACGAAAAUAAAAAAAAUAGGAGAUCAUAAUUAACAAAGUAUUGCUAAUUAAUUCCAUAUAUACUAAUUUUCCUACCUUAGUUAAUAAAUUCAUGAGAUGAAGGAGGGAAAAAAUAAAUAUAUAAAUAAAGCAUCAUCAGAAGCGGAUAAAUUUAGUGAUGGCAUAUUUGGUCAAGCUUCUAAUAGGUCAAACAUGCUUUAUUUUUUGUUUAAGAGUUAUCAAACUAGCUAGCUCGUAGUAUAUCUACAUAUAUAAUUACAUCUUAUAAAAAAAAAAAAAAUACCAAAAAUAUAGAAAUACCUUUUAUUCGAUUAAAAACAUAAUCUUGUAAUGGCCAUGAAGGAUGAUUAGUUAAAUAUUUUUUAUACAAAAUUAUAUUGCACAUAUAUAAAACAUAUUAAGUAUAUAGUAUAUAUAUUGAAAUCUCAUACCUUAGCGAAAUUAAUUUUCAGCUGGGCCAUCUAGUCAUAAUUUGCUGAUGCAGCAUCAUCAAGAUUCUCAUGUUCAAAACUAAUUAAUUAGAAACAGAUUUUAUUACAAAGUAAUAUUUUUUUUUCCCUGCUCCCCAUAAUUUGUUGUAUGUGAAUCUUGAUAGUGCUGCAGCUGCAAAUAACAACUGUAUAUAUAUGUAUCUCAAUCACUUGACCAUCUAUAAGAAUUGAUGGAAGUCAAAAUAAAAUAAGAAAAAAAAAAAAAGGAGUAUGAGAUCUGAACUCAGUAUAUAACAAAGAGGUAGAAUCCGGUGAACGAAAUAGAAGUGAAUCCAGUAUUUUUGACACGAAAUAUUGAUGUAAAUGUGAAAAAUAUUAAAACCUUUAUAUAUGAAGAUAAAUUUUGAGUUCAUAAUUUAAAAGUAUACUGAGUUAUUUUAACAUAUCAAAUUUAAAUCCUGAAUCCCUAAUCGUCAAAGAUUUCACUAAGAUCUCCAUCUAAAAAAUUUUGAGGAGAAAGAAUACAAAUUGAACAGAAAAAAAAUAAUACAAAGAUUCAGUUAAAAAUAGUGGAUGGAUUCAAUAUAUCAAAAAGAAAAAGAGGGGUACAUGUUGGAUUAAUAAAGCUAUUUUCUUGAGGUAAUUAAAAUUGUGAGAACUAGAAGAAAAAUUUGUAGUGAAGAAUCAUUUGAGUUUUCGAAUAAAAUAUUUUCCUUCAAUACAGAAAAUAAAACAUUAGAAAUACCACAAGAAGAAGAGCAUUACAUGUUGAAUGAAAGAGUUUUGUUGAACUUGUGUAUAUAUACACAGAGUCCCCAACCCCACCCCACCCCCACCCCCUUGUGUGGACCAAUGAAUAUUAAUAUUUAUUAAUAGGAAUUAACUAAUAUUUUUCUUCAUUUUAAUUUUAAAAACUUUCUAACUAACACAAAAAGAAAAAAAUAUGAAAUAUAUUAAAAGGGAAAAAAAUAGAACACAUAAACUAACAUAAUGGAAGUAGAUAUAUUUCAGGUCCAAUCAAUUUAAUGGUUCGACUCUUCCGCAGAUUCUAGGAAUUAAUGAGAGUUUAGUACACCAAGCUGUUAAAUCGAGUUAAUGAUGAAUAGUUGGACCAAGAAAACACAAGGCAACAAUCUUGAUUUGAUGUCGUUACCAGAACAAGAGAUAUGAUCAUCAUAUAUUUAUUGUUUAUCGGAUAUAAAUUAAUUUUUUUUUCUAUUUCAUAAGUUGAAACGAUUUACAUAUUCACUUGACUAUAAAUUUUAUCUCAUUUAAGUUAGCUACAUAUAUUGCUCGUUUAUUCAAAAAUUAUGAUCGAUCAAUAAUAGUUGCAUGUCUAACCACUUUCUCCUUCUUAAUCCGGCGAUUAGACAUGACAUCUAAUCCCCUUGAAUAAUCUAAGUAGUAUAUGUACAUCAAUUAAUCAAAUUACAAUAUUUUUUUAAUAUAAUUUUUUUGUUGUUAUAUUUAACUUUCACACAUGACGUCAUGUUAUUUUCAACUAGAAAUUAAGUUAGGACAAUUAAGAAAUAAUUACUCCAACAUAUGGGCAGACAACCUAGUAUCCUUUGGAUAUUUCUGUCCUCAAUUGAACCCCCACAAUCAAUUCUCAAGUGGAGUAUCAUCAAUGAACUAUAUUUCAUUGAUACAAUCAUGAUAGUCUGUCGAUUGUGAUCUGACUCAGCAAUAAUAUUAUAUAUAAAAAAAAAAAUUCGUUCUUAUUAGAGUGAAGGUGAGAUUUGUCAAACGUGAUUUGACUUAACAGUAACAUUAUACGAGAAGAUACUUUUGCUUUCUUUUUAACUUACAUAGUAAUGUGACUAGCACCAUACAUUAUGUUGAUAUAUUUUUGCGUGAUUCAACCUUGGGAUAGUUGAUUAAGCAUCUUCAUUAACAUAAAUAUUUAAUUAAGCAUCUACUUAGUUACAAAUAUUUUUUAAAAAAUAAUUACUUAAGUCUUCUUUUGAAAUUGGAGAAGUGGUUAUCCACUAGUUAAUGUCUCUUGCUUGUGGAACCAUGGACGGUUUCACUGUUUUUUCUUUUAUAUAAAGAAAAACAAAUGCUAUGAUCAUACUGCAUUUUUGUAAAUAUUAAAAAAGAAAAAUACUAUAGACAUUUUGAAAAAGAAUAAAUGAAUGGAGUAGUUGAUUAUUUUAUUCGAAAUAUAAAAUAAAUUCUUUUCAAUUCAACAGGAGAAGACUCUGUGCCUUCAAUUAAUUCAAGCAAUGUAGAAAGAAAGUCGUAUGACAACCAAUUAAAUUUGUCAACAUUGUUCAUGAACACAACAUCAAAAAUACUUUUGAAAAAUCUCUCAUGAAAAGGUACAAUUAUCCACAAUCAUCGUAUAAAAUGUCUUAAUAUAUGUUGCUUAACUAGUUCAUCUUAAUGUGUACUAGUCAUUUGAUUUGAUAUUAUUCUAUAUUGACUAUAUAGAUCAAGUUGGUAAAGAUUUACGUUUCAUUACUAAUUUCAUGGUUAAAUAUUAUCAAAAAUAAUGAAGUUUGUCCUAUUCACAUUGAAACUUCACAAAUACACAUGAACUCUUUUAAUCAAUGGUUAAUUAGGCAUUGAUUGACUCUGAAUUGCUAUCUGGUGAAGUUCCACUUGUACUAGAAAUAAGACAAAUAUUUUUUUUAAUAAACGAAACUUUCACUAUGUGCAUGAUAAAAAAAAAAAAAAAGGUCUGAUCAUUAACCUUAUUUUGCAAGUGUUGAGAACACAAUAACAUAAAUAAAAAUUUGUUAUUUUUAAAAGCUUAAGUUUUUAGAUAAGAAGAUCACAAUUUUAAUAGAAAUCAGAGUAUAUCUGAGAUUUUGAUUACUUAGAGUCUUACAAUCUUGAAUAAAUAUCAUGUAAUUGGCCAUAAAACAAAAUCAGAUCCACAUAUAAAGAGGUGUGCACGAAUUUAAUCAAGCAUUCUUAUUUAUUAAUCGAUCAUGAACUUUGCAAUGACAAUUCUUAAAUUGCGUAACGCUCCCCUUCAAUCUAAGCUUCCUCUAUAUGUGGAUCUGAAAUAGGACCCAGCCAUAUUGAACCUAUUUUUUGUGUAUAUAUAAGAAUAUUAAAGAAAUGCAGUGUGAAUGCAUCAAGUAUAUUCUACAGACUAUAUUAUUAUAUAAUGUAUGAUAAGUUAUAAUUUAUCAAUAAAACUUUCAUAUGUACAGCUACAGCUUCCAAGUUGGACUGAUUCACUGUAGAUUCGUUCACACAUCUAAUUAAUUUUUUAAAGUUUAAUUUAUUUGAGUAAUGCAAUGUUAUGAAGUUUUUCUUUUCUUAAUCAACAUAAGCAAAGACCAAUAAACGUGGAUCAUAUCUGGAGGGAACAUGCUUUUUUGAUCACAUAUAUAUUUUUUUCGACGAUUAUAAGAGAAAGAAAGUCACUAAAUAACUGCUUGUAGUUCCUGAGUCUACGAGCUAAAAAAUUGACUUGACCUAAAGAGGUUGUCCUCUCCAGGCUAGUAAUUCCACGACUAUUUUUGUGGUUAUUGUCAACGGGAAUUCUGUUCUCAAAGGUUACUCUAUAGAUCGACGAUUAGUUCAAAAUUGUAAUAUACUGUUAUAGUAUCGAUAGAUUCACUCCUUCAGGGUGAGAAAUUUUGUGUGGACUAGCUAGUUGUUUUUCGGACCGACUUUUAAAAAAUAAUUAGCAUUUAAAAGAAAAAUAGCCACAUGAAAAUACCAAAAUAGUGUCAUGAAUUUUGAAUUUAAGCAAAUAAAAGUUUCAGGAUAUUAUCAUUAAUUUUAAUAUAAAUUUAUAAUAUAUAUUACUCCAUUACUUGUGUGGAACAAAAGCUCCAACUACAUAUUCUUUGACUAGAAGUGAAGAUUCAAUACAUGUUGUAUAAUAUAUAGUUGUAUCGAAAUCAAUCUUGCUUAGUGCCUAAAUAGUUUCUCGGGUUGAAUUUCAGUUACUUAUUUAAUAUGUGGGAAGACGUUAAAAACACUCAUAAAAUUUCUCAUCUAAAAAUACAGGUGUCAAUUGACAGUUAUUUAACACUUUAUACGUAUAACUGUCAAUGGAGUAUUAUGGCACACUUGAUAUUUGAUCUAUUUGACUCAAAUUUUUAGUAUUUAUGAAAACGUCAAAAAAACUCAUGAAAUCUCUCAUUAAAAAUAUAACCGAUUAUUUAACAAUAUUGUAGUCAACCACAGUUGUGCACUUACUUAGAUGUGCCUAAAUGGUUGUCUAGGCACCAACUUGGAAUUAUUUGAUAUAUUUAAACUCAAAUAUUUAGUAUAUGCAAAAAAAGACAAAAGCACUGAAGAAAUUUCUCAUUAAAAGGUAGAAUUUAUAACAAUUAUGUAUAUACAAUAAUUGCACUAGAAACUCACCAACCCUUCAUUCCAAGUUGAAGAACUGCAUUGUGUGGAAUGCUAGGGGGGCCAAGAAUGUUGAGUUUAGGAAGCAUUACAAGGCUAUGGUCAAUAUGCACCAACCAUGUAUCCUAGCCUUGCUUGAAACCAAGAUGACUGAUCACCAAGACCUUUGUGAAGAGCUUGGAUACCACAAUCAUAUCCAAGCUGAAACAAAUAGUAACUCAGGUGGGAUUGUCAUCAUGUGGAAAGAGGACUCUAUCUCCAUUUCUUCUAUCUCCAUCUCUCCUCAGGUCAUCAAUGCUAAAGUUAAGGUAAACUCUCCCCCUUCUACUUGGUUUCUUAGUGUCAUUUAUGCUAGCACUGACUUUCAAACCAGACCUGACCUCUGGGACCAGCUCUCUUCUUUCUCUGAUAACUAUAUUCUUUCUGAGGGCAAGAGCUGGUAAGUUGGGGGAGACUUCAAUGAAGUCCUAAAGGCUUCAGAAAAAUUUGGAGGCUCCAGGAUUAACAUUAACAGGUCUAACCUUUUUAUGAAUUGCCUAAAUUACUGGAAGCUCAUUGAUUUAGGUUUCCGAGAUAGUAAGUACACUUGGUCCAAUAUGAGAUAUAGGAAUAGACAAUGCCUCAUCCUAGAAAGGCCUGACAUAUGCCUUGCUAAUGAUGAUUGUGUACAUCUUUACCCAGAGGCCACCAUCACUCACCUUUCUAGAUACCACUCUGACCACUCCCCUCUUCUUCUUAAUGUGGGUUCUCCCCCUCCCAACCAGGUUAAGCCUUUUAGAGUGGAAUCCAUGUGGCUUAGUCACCAAAAUUUUCCUAACCUUAUAAAAGACUCUUUCCUGGAUUGUCUAUGCAUCACUGUGGCUACCACUGAGUUUGAAGAUAGGGCUAGGAAUUGGAAUAAACUUCUUUUUGGUAACAUAUUUGCCAAGAAAAAGCACUUGCUUGCAAUGUUAGCUGGCAUUCAGAACUCUCCCAAAUACCCUAACAGCCCUUUCCUUUAUGGACUAAAGGCAACCCUCCUGAAAGAGUUCAACCAUGUACUCACCCUAGAGACUGAAUUCUGGAAACUCAAGUCCAGAAUCUCUUGUCUGUUAGAAGGGGACUCCAACUCUAGAUUCUUCCAUACCUCCACUCUCAAUAGAAGGAGAAGAAAUAAAAUUAAUUUCCCCAUUGAUGAUAGUGGCAACUGGCACUACCAUCAUUAUGAUAUUAUUCAAAUGGUGUCCUCUUAUUAUGCCAACCUCUACACUACUGAUCAUACCCUGGGUUAUAUGGUUACCCAGCCCAACCUCUCUACUAAGGAUAGCAUCAACCCCCUCAACCAUGAAGCCCUUCAGGCCAUCCCUUUCAUGGAGGAGGUCAAAAUGACUAUAUUUUUCUUCAAACCUAAUAAGGCCCCUGGGCCUGAUAGUCUUCAUCUUUUUCUUUAUCAGAAAUUUUGGGACACUAUGGGUCCCCCCUGUUCAAAUUUUGCCAGAAAACCUUUACCUCCUACUCUAUGAACCCUCAAGUGAACUCUACUUAUCUUUGCCUCAUUCCCCAAUAUAGGAAUGCAACCUCCCUUAAGAACUUCAGAUCCAUAGGACUCUGCAAUACCCAAUAUAAGCUCAUUACCUAAAUCAUAACCACCAGGCUGAAACCUCUCCUGGCAAAAAUCAUUGGCCCUUGCCAGGCCAGCUUCAUGGCAACAGGAGAGUCUCUGACAAUGCUAUCAUUGUGCAAGAGUAUGUUAGUCACUUCUCCAAGAUGAAGGGAAAAAAGGAUAACAUGUUCUUCAAAAUUGACCUGAAAAAAGCCUGAUAGAUUGGAGUAGUCCUUUAUCAAUCAAGCCCAGGUUUUCUUCAACUUCCCCCUAACCUUAUCAAGCUCUUCCUCUCUUGUGUCUCUUUUUCAUCCAUCUAUGUUCUUGUUAAUGGGGGAAAACAACCAACUUCACUCCCUCAAGAGGCAUUAGAUAAAGAGACCACAUGUCCCUCUACCUCUUCAUACUUUGCAUGGAAAUAUUGUUUAGAAGAAUCAACCAUGAAGUUGACAUUCUUAAUU